rnacentral:tRNA from 1 species
CAGGGAGACAACACAACGAUUUUGAUGCCUGAGUACUUUUAUUCUUAGGCCGAAAUCCUGUCACCUUAGGUCGAUAGGUACCUCAGCUUUGAAGUCAAGGAUCAGCAGCAAUGUUGAUUGCUUGAUGGAGAUUUUCAGUUCCUAAACUUUGUCUAGGUCACACCCCAAAAGGGAUGAGACUCCUGGGCCAUUAGCUCAGGUGGUUAGAGCGCACCCCUGAUAAGGGUGAGGUCCCUGGUUCAAGUCCAGGAUGGCCCAUUCGGUGUUGGGGGUUUAGCUCAGUUGGUAGAGCGCCUGCUUUGCAAGCAGGAUGUCAGGAGUUCGAGUCUCCUAACCUCCACUGACCGAACUUGAUUCCCAUCUCCAAUUUUUUGGAGUUGAGCUCGAUUGGAGUGUGAUUUAGAUGUGUCCGCUGGAUGACCCCAGCUUCCUGUCAUUCCAAGUUUUAGGUUAAAGCCUUGAAUUUGGUUGAUAAGAUGCUGGGCUCGGAUCAAAUUAUCAAGAAAUUGAUGAUUUGAUUUGAAGUUCUAGCAGAACCUUGACAACUGCAUAGGUGAGUCUGGAAAAAACAAAGCAUCUUACAGAUGCAUUGUUUUGAAUCUGAUCUUCUGAAAGGGAGAUUGGAUCUAGAACAAUGAAAAUUCUUUUGAGCAAGAGCCGAGACUCUUGAGCGUUCUUUGAUUGGUGUCGAGCCAAUCAGAGUUUGAUCUUGUUUUUAGCAAUAAAAACUUGAGAAUCUGCUUUCAACGGCGGUAAGCGUUCAAGAGGUUAAUU